rnacentral:rRNA from 1 species
AACGAACGCUGGCGGCAGGCUUAACACAUGCAAGUCGAGCGCCCCGCAAGGGGAGCGGCAGACGGGUGAGUAACGCGGGGGAAUCUACCCAUCUCUACGGAAUAACGCAUGGAAACGUGUGCUAAUAACGUAUACGUCACUCGGGAGAAGGAUUAUCGGCAAUGGAUGAGCCCGCGUUGAAUUAGCUAGUCGGUGGAGUAAAGGCCUACCAAGGCGACGAUCCAUAGCUGGUCUGAGAGGAUGAUCAGCCACACUGGGACUGAGACACGGCCCAGACUCCUACGGUAGGCAGCAGUGGGGAAUAUUGGACAAUGGGCGCAAGCCUGAUCCAGCCAUGCCGCGUGAGUGAUGAAGGCCCUAGGGUUGUAAAGCUCUUUCACCGGUGAAGAUAAUGACGGUAACCGGAGAAGAAGCCCCGGCUAACUUCGUGCCAGCAGCCGCCGUAAGAC